CUGUCGAAUAAAAUUCUAGAUAGAAUUAUGAUAAUGACAAUCUAUCUAUGCUUGACCAAAUUACGUGCCAGCAGUCGCGGUAAUACGUAAAAGACUAGUGUUAUUCAUCUUUAAUAGGUUUAAAGGGUACUUAGACGGUAAAUAAAGCCGAACUAAAUACUAGAGUUUGAUGUAAGGAAGAAGUACUGUUGGUGUAGAGAUAAAAUUCUAUCAUACUGGCACAGGUUUAGGCGAAAGCAUCUUCUUAUGUAAUAACUGACAAGGCUUUGUGUCUCGAACAGGAUUAGAUACCCCAGUAGUCUAAGCAGAUAAUGAUGAAUGUCAUAGAUUAGAUCUAUAAAUGAAAGUGUAAGCAUUCCACCUCAAGAGUAAUUUGGCAACAUUGGAACUGAAAUCAUUAGACCGUUUCUGAAACCAGUAGUGAAGUAUGUUGUUUAAUUAGAAGAUACACCAAAAACCUUACCACAAUUUGAACAAGCGCUGCACGGCUGUCUACAGUUAAUGUCGUGAGAUUUUGGUUAGUUCCAUUAAAUUAACGCAAACCCUCACUUUAUUUAGGGAACAAGACAAGUC
rnacentral:rRNA from 2 species